rnacentral:misc_RNA from 1 species
UGGGAACCCUUCGAUGCUCUUUCUUUCUUGGUGGUUCCUGGUCCACUAUAUCCUCCAUCCUAACACCAGGAUCUACAGUCAAGACAACCCGUACCCAUUCUGAAUCAAUAGCAUCAGACUUCAAUGGAAGAGAUGGGACCUCUCUGCAUUUACUAUAACUUUCUGAAGCAGAACCAAGGCUGCAAUGAUCUAUUGCAGACUCUGAUUGCAUCUCUACCGAAAAAUUCACUCGCACAAAUUUCACUUUAGUAUCCCAUAAUUGAGCCAUUGCUUGGUCUAUGGCCUGAGAUGCAGACCUUGACAUUCUGUCAUUGUGAUUGUCCUGUCCUGUCCAAAGAGGAUAAGCCCAAGGAGGAGGCUUUGGCAAUAGAACAUCUCCAUUUGCCAGAGGGAUCCCUCCCUUAG